AUCAACUUUCGAUGGUAGGAUAGAGGCCUACCAUGGUGGUAACGGGUAACGGGGUGUUAGGGCACGACACCGGAGAGGGAGCCUGAGAAACGGCUACCACAUCCAAGGAUGGCAGCAGGCGCGCAAAUUACCCAAUCCCGACACGGGGAGGUAGUGACAAUAAAUAACAAUACGGGGUCCUUUCGGGUUUCGUAAUUGGAAUGAGUACAAUUUAAAUCUCUUAACGAGGAACAAUUGGAGGGCAAGUCUGGUGCCAGCAGCCGCGGUAAUUCCAGCUCCAAUAGCGUAUAUUAAAGUUGUUGCAGUUAAAAAGCUCGUAGUUGAAUUUCGGGAUCAGUGGGUCGGUCGUGCCACUGGUAUGCACUGGCCCUACUGGUUCCUCCUUCUUGAAGAACUGUAAUGCCAUUAAUUUGGUGUUGCAGGGAAACAGGACUGUUACUUUGAAAAAAUUAGAGUGUUUAAAGCAGGCAAUCGCUUGAAUACAUUAGCAUGGAAUAAUGAAAUAGGACGUUCGAUCCUAUUUUGUUGGUUUCUAGGAUUGACGUAAUGAUUAAUAGGGAUAGUUGGGGGCAUUAGUAUUCAAUUGUCAGAGGUGAAAUUCUUGGAUUUAUUGAAGACUAACUACUGCGAAAGCAUUUGCCAAGGAUGUUUUCAUUAAUCAAGAACGAAAGUUAGGGGAUCGAAGACGAUCAGAUACCGUCGUAGUCUUAACCAUAAACUAUGCCGACUAGGGAUCGGAUGAUGUUAAUUUUUUAAUGACUCAUUCGGCGCCUUACGGGAAACCAAAGUGUUUGGGUUC
rnacentral:rRNA from 1 species